GACGAACGCUGGCGGCGUGCUUAACACAUGCAAGUCGAACGGAAAGGCCCUGCUUUUGUGGGGUGCUCGAGUGGCGAACGGGUGAGUAACACGUGAGUAACCUGCCCUUGACUUUGGGAUAACUUCAGGAAACUGGGGCUAAUACCGGAUAGGGGCUCCUGCUGCAUGGUGGGGGUUGGAAAGUUUCGGCGGUUGGGGAUGGACUUGCGGCUUAUCAGCUUGUUGGUGGGGUAGUGGCUUACCAAGGCUUUGACGGGUAGCCGGCCUGAGAGGGUGACCGGCCACAUUGGGACUGAGAUACGGCCCAGACUCCUACGGGAGGCAGCAGUGGGGAAUAUUGCACAAUGGGCGGAAGCCUGAUGCAGCAACGCCGCGUGCGGGAUGACGGCCUUCGGGUUGUAAACCGCUUUCGCCUGUGACGAAGCGUGAGUGACGGUAAUGGGUAAAGAAGCACCGGCUAACUACGUG
rnacentral:rRNA from 1 species